GGAAGUAAAAGACGUAACAAGGUUUCCGUAGGUGAACCUGCGGAAGGAUCAUUAGCGAACGCCCUCACGGGCUUAUAACUAUUCCAAACCUCUGUGAACCGUGCCCUUCGGGGUUAUUUUACAAACAUGGUGUAAUGAACGUCAUAUAUCAUAACAAAACAAAACUUUCAACAACGGAUCUCUUGGCUCUC
rnacentral:misc_RNA from 1 species